AACGAACGCUGGCGGCAGGCCUAACACAUGCAAGUCGAGCGCCCCGCAAGGGGAGCGGCGGACGGGUGAGUAACGCGUGGGAACGUACCCUUUGCUACGGAAUAGCCUCGGGAAACUGGGAGUAAUACCGUAUGUGCCCUUCGGGGGAAAGAUUUAUCGGCAAAGGAUCGGCCCGCGUUGGAUUAGGUAGUUGGUGGGGUAAUGGCCUACCAAGCCGACGAUCCAUAGCUGGUUUGAGAGGAUGAUCAGCCACACUGGGACUGAGACACGGCCCAGACUCCUACGGGAGGCAGCAGUGGGGAGUCUUAGACAAUGGGCGCAAGCCUGAUCUAGCCAUGCCGCGUGAGCGAUGAAGGCCUUAGGGUUGUAAAGCUCUUUCAGUGGGGAAGAUAAUGACUGUACCCACAGAAGAAGCCCCGGCUAACUCCGUG
rnacentral:rRNA from 1 species